AGCGGACGCUGGCGGCAGGCCUAAUACAUGCAAGUCGAGCGGCCCUUCGGGGCAGCGGCGGACGGGUGAGUAACGCGUGGGAACGUGCCCUUUGGUACGGGAUAACUGAGGGAAACUUCAGCUAAUACCGUAUGUGCCCUACGGGGGAAAGAUUUAUCGCCAUUGGAGCGGCCCGCGUUGGAUUAGGUAGUUGGUGAGGUAAAGGCUCACCAAGCCUACGAUCCAUAGCUGGUCUGAGAGGAUGAUCAGCCACACUGGGACUGAGACACGGCCCAGACCCCUACGGGAGGCAGCAGUAGGGAAUCUUGCGCAAUGGGCGAAAGCCUGACGCAGCCAUGCCGCGUGAAUGAUGAAGGUCUUAGGAUUGUAAAAUUCUUUCACCGGGGAAGAUAAUGACGGUACCCGGAGAAGAAGCCCCGGCUAACUUCGUGCCAGCAGCCGCGGUAAUACGAAGGGGGCUAGCGUUGCUCGGAAUUACUGGGCGUAAAGGGCGCGUAGGCGGAUGUUUAAGUCGGGGGUGAAAGCCCGGGGCUCAACCUCGGAAUUGCCUUCGAUACUGGACAUCUUGAGUACGGGAGAGGUGAGUGGAACUCCGAGUGUAGAGGUGAAAUUCGUAGAUAUUCGGAAGAACACCAGUGGCGAAGGCGACUCACUGGCCCGUUACUGACGCUGAGGCGCGAAAGCGUGGGGAGCAA
rnacentral:rRNA from 1 species